UACGUAGGGGGCAAGCGUUGUCCGGAAUCAUUGGGCGUAAAGCGCGCGUAGGCGGCCCGGUAAGUCCGCUGUAAAAGUCCAGGGCUCAACCCUGGAAAGCCGGUGGAUACUGUCGGGCUAGAGUCCGGAAGAGGCGAGUGGAAUUCCUGGUGUAGCGGUGGAAUGCGCAGGAUAUCAGGAGGAACACCGAUGGCGAAGGCAGCUCGCUGGGACGGUACUGACGCUGAGGCGCGAAGCGUGGGGAGCGAACAGG
rnacentral:rRNA from 1 species